rnacentral:rRNA from 1 species
AUUGAACGCUGGCGGCAUGCUUUACACAUGCAAGUCGAACGGCAGCACGGGCUUCGGCCUGGUGGCGAGUGGCGAACGGGUGAGUAAUAUAUCGGAACGUACCCAGAAGUGGGGGAUAACGUAGCGAAAGUUACGCUAAUACCGCAUACGAUCUAUGGAUGAAAGCAGGGGACCGCAAGGCCUUGUGCUCCUGGAGCGGCCGAUAUCUGAUUAGCUAGUUGGUGAGGUAAAGGCUCACCAAGGCGACGAUCAGUAGCUGGUCUGAGAGGACGACCAGCCACACUGGAACUGAGACACGGUCCAGACUCCUACGGGAGGCAGCAGUGGGGAAUUUUGGACAAUGGGCGCAAGCCUGAUCCAGCAAUGCCGCGUGAGUGAAGAAGGCCUUCGGGUUGUAAAGCUCUUUUGUCAGGGAAGAAACGGUAGAGGCUAAUAUCCUUUGCUAAUGACGGUACCUGAAGAAUAAGCACAGGCUAACUACGUG